rnacentral:rRNA from 1 species
GACGAACGCUGGCGGCGUGCCUAAUACAUGCAAGUAGAACGCACAGUUUAUACCGUAGCUUGCUACACCAUAGACUGUGAGUUGCGAACGGGUGAGUAACGCGUAGGUAACCUGCCUGGUAGCGGGGGAUAACUAUUGGAAACGAUAGCUAAUACCGCAUAAUAUUGAUUAUUGCAUGAUAAUUGAUUGAAAGAUGCUAUUGCAUCACUACCAGAUGGACCUGCGUUGUAUUAGCUAGUAGGUGAGGUAACGGCUCACCUAGGCGACGAUACAUAGCCGACCUGAGAGGGUGAUCGGCCACACUGGGACUGAGACACGGCCCAGACUCCUACGGGAGGCAGCAGUAGGGAAUCUUCGGCAAUGGACGAAAGUCUGACCGAGCAACGCCGCGUGAGUGAAGAAGGUUGUCGGAUCGUAAAGCUCUGUUGUAAGAGAAGAACGGGUGUGAGAGUGGAAAGUUCACACUGUGACGGUAUCUGACCAGAAAGGGACGGCUAACUAUGUG